rnacentral:rRNA from 1 species
ACGCGAAGAACCUUACCUACUCUUGACAUCCAGCGAACUUAGCAGAGAUGCUUUGGUGCCUUCGGGAACGCUGAGACAGGUGCUGCAUGGUUGUCGUCAGCUCGUGUCGUGAGAUGUUGGGUUAAGUCCCGCAACGAGCGCAACCCUUAUUACUAGUUGCCAGCAUUCAGUUGGGCACUCUAGUGAGACUGCCGGUGACAAACCGGAGGAAGGUGGGGAUGACGUCAAAUCAUCAUGCCCCUUAUGACCUGGGCUACACACGUGCUACAAUGGCGUAUACAACGAGUUGCCAACCCGUGAGGGUGAGCUAAUCUCUUAAAGUACGUCUCAGUUCGGAUUGUAGGCUGCAACUCGCCUACAUGAAGUCGGAAUCGCUAGUAAUCGCGGAUCAGCACGCCGCGGUGAAUACGUUCCCGGGUCUUGUACACACCGA